rnacentral:rRNA from 1 species
UACAGAGGUCUCAAGCGUUGUUCGGAUUCAUUGGGCGUAAAGGGUGCGUAGGUGGCGCCGUAAGUCAGGUGUGAAAUUUCGGAGCUUAACUCCGAAACUGCAUUUGAUACUGCGGUGCUUGAGGACUGGAGAGGAGACUGGAAUUCACGGUGUAGCAGUGAAAUGCGUAGAUAUCGUGAGGAAGACCAGUGGCGAAGGCGGGUCUCUGGGACGGUACUGACGCUGAGACGCGAAAGCGUGGGGAGCGAACAGG